rnacentral:rRNA from 1 species
UACGUAGGGGGCUAGCGUUGUCCGGAAUCAUUGGGCGUAAAGAGCGUGUAGGCGGCCCGGUAAGUCCGCUGUGAAAGUCGGGGGCUCAACCCUCGAAUGCCGGUGGAUACUGUCGGGCUAGAGUGCGGAAGAGGCGAGUGGAAUUCCUGGUGUAGCGGUGAAAUGCGCAGAUAUCAGGAAGAACACCAAUGGCGAAGGCAGCUCUCUGGGACGGUACUGACACUGAGACGCGAAAGCGUGGGGAGCGAACAGG